GUGGAUUAGAUACCCUGGUAGUCCACGCCGUUAACGAUGGAUACUAGCUGUUCGGUUUUCGGACUGAGUGGCUAAGCGAAAGUGAUAAGUAUCCCACCUGGGGAGUACGUUCGCAAGAAUGAAACUCAAAGGAAUUGACGGGGGCCCGCACAAGCGGUGGAGCAUGUGGUUUAAUUCGAUGAUACGCGAGGAACCUUACCAGGGCUUAAAUGUAGAUUGACGUAUUUGGAAACAGAUAUUUCUUCGGACAAUUUACAAGGUGCUGCACGGCCGUCGUCAGCU
rnacentral:rRNA from 1 species